GUUUGUUUUUAACCUUUCUAUAGUUUCCUUUCUGCUUCGUUCGCGAUGUCAUAGUGAUGCCAUUACUUAUCUAUAGCGUCAAAGACUUUGGUAUUUGGUCAAAUAUGCUAUUGUGUUUUGCUUUCAGAAUUAUGUGUUGCUAUCAGUGGUUAUGCUUUUAUUUUGGUUUUUGGAUUUGGGAUUUGCUUAGUAUAUUUAUGAAGAAGAGGAACACGACGGGUUCGUGUUGGAAUAUCAAUGUUGUUUCUUCUUGGAAUUUGGUUGGUUUCUCGUAGAUUGUUGCUAAAAGAUUCGAGUUUGAUGUUUCUUUGUUUCUGUCGCGCCUUAGUCGGGGCAGAGAGUGAAUCCUUAGGAGGAUGAAAAUAUGUUUGUUCAUCGUUGCUGAAGAUUCGAUUAUGGUGUUCUUUGAUUUGAUCUGCCUGUUGGAAUUAGUUAUGUAAUCAAGGUUCUGCUCUACUCGUCCUUUCUGAACCCUAUUCCUGCUUUUUCUUUCCUAAUGCCUCAAUGAUGUGGUCUAAUUCCUUAAUCGAAAUUAGGGUUCUUGGCAUUCGGUGCGAUGUUCUAGUGUCUAGUUUUGGAAGCUUUGUGAUGCCAGUUUUAGGGUUUCCGAAGAAUAUGUGAAGUGUUUAUCUACAUUGGUUUAAUUGAAAAGGUGCGUUGGAAUUUAACAUUGGUUGCAUGCUUGAAUCAGAGUUUUUGUCCUUUAAUGUGAGCGACAAAGACUCGGGUUUUUCCUUGCUUUUCGUUUUCUUCCCCCCUUUCCUUUGCUUGUUGGUAUUAGACGGAUAAUCAAAAUUUUGCUUGAGUUGUACUUUUGAUGUUUUGUUCUGCUUCAUUAGUUGUAUGAUUAAAGUGCUGCUCUACUUGUCCUCUCUGUAGUCCAUUUCUGCUUGUUCUUUCCUGAUGCCUCAACCAUGUGGUCUAAUUCCUGCAUCAAAAUUAGGGUUCUUAGCGUUUGGUGCAAUAUUCAAGUAUCUAGUUUUGUAAGGUUUGUGAUGCCAAAUUUUACUUGUCAAGUGAGAAUGAAGAAUUUCCAAAGUGUUGUCUACAUUUGAUUAAUGCAAAAGGUGCAUUGGAUUUCACUCUUAGUUUGCAUGCUUGAAUCAGAGUUCUGUCCUCAACUUGACUGGCAAAGAUUUAGGUUGUUUUUGCUUGUUGGCAUUAGUUGUUUAAUCAAAGUUCUCUGAGCUGUACUUACAAUGUUUUUUGGUGUCUCCCGAUGAUGGUGUCUUGUUCAUUAUAAUGUCAAAUUAAGACUUUGGUUUUUUUGUGAGAUAUGCUAAUUUAUUACCAUCUGGACAUAUGCAAUGCUACUUUUUGAUGCUUCUAAAGCUUGUUUCAUCUUCAGCUCAGCAUCUUAGAUAAAAAGAUUCCGAUAUGUCUUAACUUGAUGGUUGGGAAGGGUGGCACUAAAAUAUACUUUUAUAGUUGUGGAACUGAUCAUAAUUCCAUCUUCUUUGCAUGUCUCUACCAAUAUUUUUCUACAGGUAAGGUGAAUGUCAUUCCAUGAAGGGUGCUGGCUCUGCUGUUGACGGUGGCUUCUAAAUGAACUUUGGUGAAAUUGUCCUGAAGCCCAAAGCAUUAGCAGAUCUUGAUAUUUGUGUUUUUAUGAGCAAUCCUUGGUGGUGGUGGUGGUGGUGGCGGCGGUCAAAGUUGAGAACAUGGCCAAUUUGGACAGUGGUCCAUCUGAUUCAUCUCUAUCCUGGUGGCUAUAUUCAUCAAGCAAUCUGUGACUUUUUGCAAAUCUACUUUUUUCUAAAAGUUGAAAAUAAGCUCCAAUUGGACCAGCAUCCUUUGACUUUUUGGGAGAGACGUUUUCUGAAUUCUACACUUCUUUUUCAGUGAUGAAGAUGAUGGCGCAUGAUGAUGUAUGUGCAGGAGAAGCUGCAGGAAGCAUGUGAUAUGAACUAACAGAAGAAGACAAUCUAUCCAUCCACCCUCAUGAAGCAGAAACGGAAAGAAGCAAUGAACAAAUCCAAGACAAGUCGAUGCUGAUGAUCAAACGAUCUCAAUGUGUAUAUGGAAGAUUCCACUGGCUUUGGUCAAUCAAAAUUCAAAGGUCCAGUGGAGCAUUCAGAGCCCUUGAUGGACAACUACUACAAUAAUGCAUAGGAGAUCACAAAAACAAGUUGAAACACUUGUCACCUCCAAGAAAUCUCGGACAAGUGGAUGCUGGUGACCAAUCCAGUUUGUGCAUCUCGGUGGCCAAAGCAUAUUUGCUGAUGACAGUGUAAGCAUACAAAUCUGUAAUUAUGCUAAGUCAAUAAUGCGGAAUUAACCUAUAUGCCAGGAUUUGAAAUCAAUACAUAGAUCAAAUUAUACGAUGCG